rnacentral:rRNA from 1 species
AUUGAACGCUGGCGGCAGGCCUAACACAUGCAAGUCGAGCGGAUGAUGGGAGCUUGCUCCUUGAUUCAGCGGCGGACGGGUGAGUAAUGCCUAGGAAUCUGCCUGGUAGUGGGGGACAACGUUUCGAAAGGAACGCUAAUACCGCAUACGUCCUACGGGAGAAAGCAGGGGACCUUCGGGCCUUGCGCUAUCAGAUGAGCCUAGGUCGGAUUAGCUUGUUGGUGAGGUAAUGGCUCACCAAGGCGACGAUCCGUAACUGGUCUGAGAGGAUGAUCAGUCACACUGGAACUGAGACACGGUCCAGACUCCUAGGGGAGGCAGCAGUGGGGAAUAUUGGACAAUGGGCGAAAGCCUGAUCCAGCCAUGCCGCGUGUGUGAAGAAGGUCUUCGGAUUGUAAAGCACUUUAAGUUGGGAGGAAGGGUUGUAGAUUAAUACUCUGCGAUUUUGACGUUACCGACAGAAUAAGCACCGGCUAACUCUGUGCCAGCCGCCGCCGUAAUAC